rnacentral:rRNA from 1 species
GACGAACGCUGGCGGCGUGCUUAACACAUGCAAGUCGAACGGAAAGGCCCUGCUUUUGUGGGGUGCUCGAGUGGCGAACGGGUGAGUAACACGUGAGUAACCUGCCCUUGACUUUGGGAUAACUUCAGGAAACUGGGGCUAAUACCGGAUAGGAGCUCCUGCUGCAUGGUGGGGGUUGGAAAGUUUCGGCGGUUGGGGAUGGACUCGCGGCUUAUCAGCUUGUUGGUGGGGUAGUGGCUUACCAAGGCUUUGACGGGUAGCCGGCCUGAGCGGGUGACCGGCCACAUUGGGCCUGAGCUACGGCCCAGACUCCUACGGUAGGCAGCAGUGGGGAAUAUUGCACAAUGGGCGGAGGCCUGAUGCAGCAACGCCGCGUGCGGGAUGACGGCCUUCGGGUUGUAAACCGCUUUCGCCUGUGACGAAGCGUGAGUGACGGUAAUGGGUAAAGAAGCACCGGCUAACUACGUG